CCAACUGCCAUCAGCUCCUUUGAUAGCCGUGGGGUCUCAGGUCUUCUUCCUCCAGCCAUGCUGGAAUUUCGACUGGCUUGAUCUUGGGCCGGUAACCACUGCUGCUGUGAGUUGAUGUGGAUGAUAACCAUGUCUUGUGCAGACAUCAGCAUUUCCCAGCUCUCCUCCCCGUCUGCCGGCUCUUCCAAUUCUUUUCCCGUCCUCUUGUGCCAAGUUCCCUGAGACUUGGAAGUGGUUGAUAUAGGAUGCUUGGAGAGCUGCUGAUUCUUAGUGAUAGAGGCCUGAUGUCAGUGAAGGAAUCAUCAUCAUCAUCAUCAGCAGCAGCAGCAGCAGCAGCAAUCCGGUAGAUCAGCUCCUCAGCAGAAGGGAAGGCCAAGCAGGCAAGAGACAAUCUUCCUUCUGUCCCCAGGCUGCUCACGGAAUUCCAGGACAAAAGUGUGGUCUCAUGAAGACCUGCUGAAUGGUUGUGACAGUCAACAUAAAAAAGUCAGCAAGAACCACCCCAUCUUGUGCUCUGGUUGACGUUAUGUCUAUCCCAUGGUCACUCCUACCGUAGUGUAGCACAGGGAUGUAUCUGCACCUCCCUUUCAGCCUGGACUUCCCAACUUCAGGGUACACACAUUAUUAUCUAAGCAUUCCUCUCCUCCUUCCUCUGGUCCUUCCACUUGGCUCAAUGAUCUGCGUGAAGUGGUCCUUUAACACAAGUCGGUGGAAGGAAUCCACAGAAGAACCUCUCCCAGCUGCCUCCCUGGAUGUUUAUAACGGAACCUAGACAGGAAAUGAAAUAAUCAGAAACAAAG